rnacentral:snoRNA from 1 species
AAGACCGUACUUACUAGGAUCAUUUCUAUAGUACGUGUCCCGUCUUUGUUUCCCAACAAAGGCAACCUCUUCAACCACGAUGAUGAGUAGUACCGUUUCCUUCUGAGCGCGAAGGAAGUCAAGGGCAUUGCCUUCAUUGGCAAGUCGCCACUGGCACUUGAUGAACGUUCUUUUCCUUUGCUUAGCGAAGGAAAGGAGGAAGGGAACGCAUUCAGAGUGGU